rnacentral:lncRNA from 1 species
GGGCAUAUAUGAUGAGAAAAGGCGUGCUGUCAAUAGCAGUCGCUUGGCUGCAGACUACAUUGACCGCUGCAACAACCUGGUAGAGCAAUUACAGAAGGCUCUUGACAAGCUACCUAAAGGAGAAACAGCAGAAGAAACCAUUGAUCAUGUAAAUGCCCAAUAUCAUUAUGAUCUUAGAAACACGAGAACAAGCUCAAUAGACAGCGAAUAUCUGUCAUAUCUAACAUACCCUUGAAUUUUCUCUGCAUAUUUAGAGCCAGCAAUUCUCAUUACUUCAUCAAAAAGCACAAUUUCAAGAGCUGGACUACGAAGGAAAACGCGAAUUCAGAGAAUUUAGCAGAGAGGUAUAAUUACUAUUGUUAAGCUUAAAAUGCCCCCAAGAUUCAUAGUUCACAUACCCGAACCAUUCUGAAAUUUUGUCUAAAUAUAUUAAUAGCUAAACUGCAUCCGGAAAAAAAUGCCAAGAAGUGACAGCAGAAAAGCUGGACGAGAUCUCCUGAAAGAUGUUUGUAACCCCACAAGUCAAGACAGUUUGAAGAAUUCUCUGGAGCUGGAAUUAAAAGUAAGAUCUUUUAGCUCCUUUCAUUUGAGCAUUAGUCUAUCUUAAUUUAGACUAACGGGAUGAUGUUUGGAAAUCAACUAGGUUCUUAAGAAGCUAACCAGAAAACUUCAAAAAGACUGGGAAGAAGAACUGCAAAUAAAGCAAUAUGCAAAGAAUAUAUAUAAAGAUUUCAAACAAAAGGUGAAGCAUCUAGAGAAGAAAAAGGAACACCUUUCCGGACAAUGGGACAAAGAAAAAAAUAUCAUGCUCGAGACAAAGAAAACGCAUGAUACGAAGACGCAUGAUAGGAAGACGCAUGAUCGGAAGAUAGGUACAUAUCCUGAGGCUUAUUAUAUAAUGAUGGUGAAUGAUAACGUACCAUGAUGGUUUGUAACGUAUUGAUUUCGGGCUUGGAGUCUUUUAACUUUUUCCUAUUCCUUUCAGCAAAUUACUCCUGCAUAGUUUCACCACAACAUGUACGUAUCCAAGAAUUGUCUCAAAUCU